rnacentral:misc_RNA from 1 species
AACCAUAGAAACCUGCGGAGUACCUGCGGAAGGAUCAUUACCGAGUUUACAACUCCCAAACCCUUAUGUGAACCAUACCUAUCGUUGCUUCGGCGGAGACGCCCCGGCUCUCCGAGCCCGGACCCAGGCGCCCGCCGGAGACCACAAACUCUUGUAUUUGUUUCAGUAUUUUCUCUGAGUGGCAAACGCAAAAAAUAAAUCAAAACUUUCAGCAAUGGAUCUCAGAUCGGAAGAGCACAC